UGGAAUGUAGCUCACUGGUAGAGCGGUGGCCUUAUAAGCCGUGUGUAGUUGGUUCGAUUCCAACCAUUCAAA
rnacentral:tRNA from 1 species